GACCCAGUAGCUCAGUCGGCAGAGCACCUGCCUUUUAAGCAGGGUGUCCGGAGUUCGAAUCUCCGCUGGGUCACCA
rnacentral:tRNA from 8 species